UGCAGUGUGUCUGGAGUCCCUUUCCCCUGA
rnacentral:piRNA from 1 species